GCUAUACUUGAUGAUACUAACCCGUAGAUCCGAACUUGUGGGCUUUUUUAUAUGUAUACCGCAAGCUCCUAUCUACCGGUACAUGUAGUCAGGCCAGCAU